UACCAGCACCCCGAGUGGUCGGGACGUUUAUUGGGCCUAAAGCAUCCGUAGCCGGUUCUGCAAGUCUUCCGUUAAAUCCACCUGCUUAACAGAUGGGCCGCGGAAGAUACUAUAGAGCCAGGAGGCGGGAGAGGCAAGCGGUACUCGAUGGGUAGGGGUAAAAUCCGUUGAUCCAUUGAAGACCACCAGUGGCGAAGGCGGCUUGCCAGAACGCGCUCGACGGUGAGGGAUGAAAGCUGGGGGAGCAAACCGG
rnacentral:rRNA from 1 species